rnacentral:rRNA from 1 species
UACGGAGGGUGCAAGCGUUAAUCGGAAUUACUGGGCGUAAAGGGUGCGUAGGCGGUUGUUUAAGUCUGUUGUGAAAUCCCCGGGCUCAACCUGGGAAUGGCAAUGGAUACUGGGCAGCUAGAGUGUGUCAGAGGAUGGUGGAAUUCCCGGUGUAGCGGUGAAAUGCGUAGAGAUCGGGAGGAACAUCUGUGGCGAAGGCGGCCACCUGGACCAACACUGACACUGAGGCACGAAAGCGUGGGGAGCAAACAGG